CACGUAGGGUGCGAGCGUUGUCCGGAAUUAUUGGGCGUAAAGAGCUCGUAGGCGGUGUGUCGCGUCGGCCGUGAAAACCUGCAGCUUAACUGUGGGCUUGCGGUCGAUACGGGCAUCACUGGAGUUCGGCAGGGGAGACUGGAAUUCCUGGUGUAGCGGUGAAAUGCGCAGAUAUCAGGAGGAACACCGGUGGCGAAGGCGGGUCUCUGGGCCGCAACUGACACUGAGGGACGAAAGCUAGGGGAGCGAAUGGG
rnacentral:rRNA from 1 species